UAGGGAAUCUUCGGCAAUGGGGGGAACCCUGACCGAGCAACGCCGCGUGAGUGAAGAAGGUUUUCGGAUCGUAAAGCUCUAUUGUUAAGGAAGAACGAGUGUGAGAAUGGAAAGUUCAUGCUGUGACGGUACUUAACCAGAAAGGGACGGCUAACUACGUGCCAGCAGCCGCGGUAAUACGUAGGUCCCGAGCGUUGUCCGGAUUUAUUGGGCGUAAAGCGAGCGCAGGCGGUUAGAAAAGUCUGAAGUGAAAGGCAGUGGCUCAACCAUUGUAGGCUUUGGAAACUGUUUAACUUGAGUGCAGAAGGGGAGAGUGGAAUUCCAUGUGUAGCGGUGAAAUGCGUAGAUAUAUGGAGGAACACCGGUGGCGAAAGCGGCUCUCUGGUCUGUAACUGACGCUGAGGCUCGAAAGCGUGGGGAGCGAACAGG
rnacentral:rRNA from 1 species